CCAUGACUUUUGAAGUGAAGCGCAUAUCUUUUGUUCUUGGCUUCUUAGCUAGACGCAAUCAGAGCUUGUAGCGGCACAACCGAGGGGGGAGGAGAAUGGGCCAGCCAAGAAAUGAAAAUACCCUUCAGAGUGGAAAAGAGAGGUUCGGAAGAGAAGGGGAAUGGAAUGUAAAUCUGGUUUUGUCUAGAAGGGAUACAGCUUUUGUAAAAAAAAAAUUACAAACACUUUUCGUAGCAGGUUAGGAGAAUUAGCAUAGCAAGUUACGAGGAGUAGGUUAAGGUUAGCAAAAUUUUACAUAAAAAUGUAAUUCCAUGUUGAAAUGUGUCUGAUUUGCUUACUAGUAACAUGAUUGAUGGUGAUGGUGACAUUUCGGUUUUGGUUGUUUGACUGUUGUAACACUUACCUGUUCAUUCUGAGUGAACAAUUAAACAUCGCACUUGGUGUAAAUAUUUUUAGUAGGCAUUCACCAUCACAUGUACUUGAAAUUAUAUUCUGAAAUACAUUUUCAUUAAUGCUAUUGAAAUUGGAAAAUGAUUCCAUUGUCUCGAGUACCAUACACCUUUUUAUGAAAUUGUGCACAUUGAUAAAUAUUAAAUCAACUUUGA